rnacentral:misc_RNA from 1 species
CCAGAGAUGGCGGGCCCCCGCGCCCCCGUCCUCAACCCUUUGUUGACUAACCCUUUUUGCCUCGGGGGUAGAGCGUCCGCCGCCGCCCCCGGAGGACCACCGAACGCUGUCUCCUUGCGUCAGAGGAAUUGAUUAAAUGAAUGA